rnacentral:rRNA from 1 species
UGGCAAGUCGACCAAAGGCGAAAGCAGUCAUCAAGGGCAUUCCCGUUGAUCAAGAGCGAAAGUUAAGGGUUCGAAGACGAUCAUGUCAUCUGGUCGUCAAAAGUGGUACCGAGAGGUACUGCUAGUCCGGUGAAUCCCUGUUCCUUUCGGGAUAAAGGGAGUCGCUACUGCGAACAGACGCGGUUUCACGGGCAACACUACCAAAUUGCGGGAGAUUCCUAAAGACCAGCUAACCAACCACGCGCCGUAAGGCGGAAAAAUCACGGGUUACGAUCCCUUCACAGGGGGAACCGCGUGCGUGGGGCCCGGGAUAGUGACCCGGGGUACGGUAAAAUCAGCUGAGUAUACGGGGUAUCUUCGGAUACUCCAACAUGGAUGACCUGCAGCCAAGUCCUUAUCCCCGAGUUUUCCCGGGAGAGGAUACAGUUCACUGACUAAACGGUAGUGGGCGAUGCGGUCCCCGGCUCGUUCGGGGCUCCGUAUUGCUUAAGAUAUAGUCGUAUACCGGGAAAUCCGGUUAACAAGUAGGCAAGGGGGAUAAAAGAGGCAGAUACCGUCGUAGUCUUAACUAUAAAUGAUACUGACCAGAGAUAGGAUUCUGUCCAUCUCGACUUCUCCCGGAUCUUCGAGAAAUUACAGUCUUUGAGUUCUGGGGGGAGUAUGGUCGCAAGGCUGAAACUCUCACGGGGUUGGUAAAGUGGACCCUUGAAAAAGGUCUGCUAGUCCGGGGAAUCCUCGUUACACGAGUGAUCGAACGGGCGACAUUGUCAAAUUGCAGGGACCUCCUAAAGCUCUUGCUACCAACCGCACGCCGAAAGGCGCAAAACCGGGUGUAUUCCCCCUUUCGGGGGGGGAUUAUCCCGUGCGGGGCCGGACUAAUCACCCGGGUACGGUAAUAACGCAACGAGAUUGGGUAUCCGGGGGGUCGC